rnacentral:rRNA from 1 species
CACGUAGUUAGCCGGAGCUUUCUCCUUGGCUACCGCCAUUAUCUUCACCAAGAACAGAGUUUUACAAUCCGAAGACCUUCGUCACUCACGCGGCGUUGCUGCAUCAGGGUUUCCCCCAUUGUGCAAUAUCCCCCACUGCUGCCUCCCGUAGGAGUCUGGGCCGUGUCUCAGUCCCAAUGUGGCCGUUCAACCUCUCAGUCCGGCUACCGAUCGUCGCCUUGGUGGGCCUUUACCCCGCCAACUAGCUAAUCGGACGCGAGUCCAUCUUUCAGCGGAUUGCUCCUUUGGUCAGUGCGCCAUGCGACACUCUGACUUUAUGCGGUAUUAGCAUCCUUUUCAGAAUGUUAUCCCCCUCUGAAAGGCAGGUUACUCACGCGUUACUCACCCGUCCGCCACUAGGCUCCAGGAGCAAGCUCCCUUCGCCCCGUUCGACUUGCAUGUGUUAGGCACGCCGCCAGCGUUCGUCCUGAGCCAGGAUCAAACUCU